UAGCUCAGCUAGUAGAGCACAAGGCUCUUAACCUUGUGGUUGUGGGUUUGAGCCCCAC
rfam:Glycine soja cultivar W05 scaffold2363_2, whole genome shotgun sequence.